UAGGGAAUAUUAGAAAUGGACGAAAGUCUGAUCUAGCAACUCCGCGUGUGCGAAGAAGGCCUUCGGGUCGUAAAGCACUUUUUGGAAGGAAUAGGAAGGAAUGUACUUCCAGAAUAAGUCUCGGCUAACUACGUGCCAGCAGCCGCGGUAACACGUAGGAGGCGAACGUUAUCCGGAUUUACUGGGCGUAAAGCGCGUGUAGGUGGUUCGGUAAGUAGGGCGUGAAAGCUCCUGGCUCAACUGGGAGAGGCCGGUCUAAACUACAGAACUAGAGGAUGGUAGAGGGAGGUGGAAUUCCAGGUGUAGCGGUGGAAUGCGCAGAUAUCUGGAGGAACACCAGUGGCGAAGGCGGCCUCCUGGACCAUUCCUGACACUCAGACGCGAAAGCUAGGGUAGCAAACG
rnacentral:rRNA from 1 species